AUAUCAAUAAGCGGAGGAAAAGAAACUAACAAGGAUUCCCCUAGUAACUGCGAGUGAAGCGGGAAAAGCUCAAAUUUAAAAUCUGAUGGUCUUUGGCCGUCCGAGUUGUAAUUUAGAGAAGCGUUUUCCGCGCUGGACCGUGCACAAGUCUCCUGGAAUGGAGCGUCAUAGAGGGUGAGAAUCCCGUACGUGACUGGCCGCCUUCGCCCGUGUGAAGCUCUUUCGACGAGUCGAGUUGUUUGGGAAUGCAGCUCAAAAUGGGUGGUAUAUUUCAUCUAAAGCUAAAUAUUGGCCAGAGACCGAUAGCGCACAAGUAGAGUGAUCGAAAGAUGAAAAGCACUUUGGAAAGAGAGUUAAACAGUACGUGAAAUUGUUGAAAGGGAAGCGCUUGCAACCAGACUUGCACGCUGUCGAUCAUCCGAGGUUUUCCCCGGUGCACUCGGCGGCGUUCAGGCCAGCAUCGGUUUCAGUGGUUGGAUAAAGGCCUUGGGAAUGUGGCUCCUCCGGGAGUGUUAUAGCCCUCGGUGCAAUGCAGCCUACUGGGACCGAGGACCGCGCUUCGGCUAGGAUGCUGGCGUAAUGGUUGUAAGCGA
rnacentral:rRNA from 1 species